GAUUAAAUUCAUUAGCGCUCCGCUCCGAGAGAGGAGAGCGCACACCAAGCGCCGAGGGUGGCGUAAAGGGGGGCUGCUGGGCAGAGAGCCUAUAAAUAACCCCGCCGAGGCGCUACCCUGAGCUCGGAAUGGCCCUGCUGGAGUGGGGCCUUAAAUCAAGCCAGGGCCGCCGCUUCCCGGGAGUCUGGCUUUAAUGGCUGGGAAGGGGAGGAGGGCCGGGCUGGCGGGGAGAAAUCGGAAUAACAAAACAAGGCCACCUUGGGCUGGCCUGACGCAGAAGGUCUGGCCGCUUCUCCCUACGCCGGGUUUAGAAAGAGAGGACGGGAAAUUUUUAAAGGAUUUAUCUACUUCUUCGUUUACACAAACACAUAAACACAGGGAGAGAGGGAGACACUGUGCCGGACACACACCUGGCACGUUAGCCCAUUUUUUCCUGGGCCAAGGGAUUCUGCUGUUGUUCUCUCUGCACAGAGCGAUCAAAACGGCCUCCUCCUCGGUCCUCAACCCCCUUUCUGGCACAGCAAAAGCCUCCAGGCUGCAAAGAGUCAGUCCACCCCAGACACAAGCCGCCAAGCUGGAACAGGGAUCGGGUUCCCUUUUGGAAAGGCUCACCGGUUUGGGCUGCGGUCCUAAGCAAACUGACUCGGGAGUACCAUGACUCCCUAGCAUGCUGAGAAAACUUUCUCCAGAAGCAUGUGAACUUCUUCCUACCUCGUUUUUCUUCUUUGCAACAUAAAGUCUGACCUGUGUGUUAAUAUGCAAAUGAUUUGCAUGGCCAUAGCGAACGACAGGAUUGGACUACUGCUCCCAUCAUCCCGCCCCAGUCCCAACGCAGUCGGGGAAGGUUGGAUCAGAUGUUGCUGGAUGCCUUCAAGUCAUGUCCCACUCGUUGUGACCCUAAGACGAAGCUAUGAUGGGGUUUUCAUGUUAGAAAUGUCACCAACAUUUCAUGGCAAGGUUGGUUCAGGAGAGGUUUGCCAUUGCCUUCCCCUAAGGCUGAGAGCAUGUGACUUGCCCAAAGUCACCCAGUGGGUUUAAUGGCCUAGCAAGGAAUGGAACUCUGGCCUCCUGAGCCAUAGUCCAAUACUCAAACCACUAGGCCAUGCUGUCUUAGAUUAGGAGAGGUCUCUUCAGUGCUUCCAGGUUUACGUGUCCUACUUAAAUCAGACUUUCCUCACCCAGAUUAAGUUCAGAUGACACUUGUGUCUGGAGGACUGCUGCCAGAAUGUGUGUGUGUGUUCACAUCAACAACAGCAGCCCAUUUAGCAAGUUGUUUAUUUCCCGCCUCCAAGCUUUGAAGUGGUUUCAUGCCAACUCCUACUUGGUGAGAUUUUUAUGAAAACCCAGCCAUGCGAAGUUAUGAGUCUAUAGGUACUAAAGAUUCAGCACCCAGGGCUUAGCAGAGAUCCUUCACCUAUCCAUCCCAGGUAUCAAGGAAGAAAAGGAGAGCUUUUCCCAGGGGAUUAAGCCAAGUUUAUUUGUAACCAGAACUGCACACAAAUUGGUGCAAGCCUUGCAACAUCUGUGGUAACAGAGUGCCACUGAGCAUAGGCAGAGUGUCUUUCUUACAUGUUGGACCAAAGACUAGGCCGCACUUUACCAGCUUAGCCUUACACUUCCUAGCCAGAGGAAGCUGCCUCCAAACAGACUCAGCCAUCUGCAUCCUGGGCUGUAAAUCCCUGUAGAAGUGAAGACCAACCACAGUCAAGGUAGCAAGAGAGUACAAUAGGCAUGAAGCAAACAAAGGAUGGGUUUCCACCUCAGGACUGGGACCUAGUUCUCAUUCUGUUGGAAAAUAUGUCUGCUGAAAGUGUACCACCACAACCAGUUCAGACUGCAAGAAUGUAUGGUGGUGUGCAUUCCUGUUUGUUGUGUGCCUUCAAGUCGUUUCUGACUUAAGGCAACCCUAUAAUAGGAUUUUCGUGGCAAGAUUUGUUCAGAAGAGGUUUGCCAUCUCCUUCCUCUGAGAGAGUGUGACUUGCCCAAGAUCACCCAGUGGAUUUCAUGGCCCAGCUGGAAAUCGAACCCAGCUCUCCAGAGUCAUAGUCCAAUACUCAAACCACUAAGGCCCCUUGAAAUCCAGCUUGUCAAACAAAAGCUUCACGGGGGCUGUGGGGAGGUGUUGUUGGACUGCAAGUCCCACUGGUUAUCACUAGGCAUGGCAGCCAAAGGUGAAGGAGGAUGGGAAAUACAGCCCAACAACAUCUCGAUAUGGAGGGGGGAGGGCCCUUUCCUUUUCCAUGUCGAUUAGCAUCCAACUCUCUGUAGCGUGAGACAGUGGUUUACCCCCCCCCCCGCGCCUGCUGUACGAAUUAGGGCCACCAGGCCUCACUUUGACCAAACUGCGAAGGGAGAACGCCAUUAACUUCCCGACCCCGGCUUUUUGUUUUAAUUACUAGAUGCGAGGGAUGAAUCAUCCUCUCAGGCACCUUCUGCUGGAAAGGGAGAUUGAGGGAGGGAUGGGAGGGAGUGAGUGGAUCCAUCCCUUGUUCCCUGGGCUGUCUGGGGAAGAGACUGGUGGCAGUCUGGGCUCCUCGACCCCCGGGGGGCUUCUCCUUUGAGAGACCUCCAGGCUGCAGAAGCGACCAGGCCCAUUCGUGACCGCGGGAGACUGUAGGCUGCGGGGAGGAGGCCAAGGCUAGCGGGCAAGGAGGUCUCCAAACGGCUGGGUUUUCCGUUCAAGGCAAAGGAGCUCUCAGGAGGGAGCAUCAACAACCGCGCGAUUGCUUCUCUUUUCUUCCUCCUUUUCUUGGCCUGCCUGAGCCCGAGGAAAUGACAAGGCGGAAUCGUUAGGAGCCGGGCUGCAGAAAUAGCAUAUGGAAGAGGGGCUCUAGCAGCCAUUCUCUCGGCGCGUGUUUUUAAUGAAUUAAAAGCAUAGGAGAAGGAGAAGGAGAAGUAAGUGUGGUCGUUAAAAUAAAGAGCAGCAAACUCUGAUAAUGAUUUCCAGCCCGUCCAAGCACUCCGUGGCUUCUUUAUUCUUAAAGUCAGAAACCAAUGUUAAGAACCUCUGUCUCGCUCUCAGAUCUGAAACGCCUCGUUUGCCAGCCAAAACCAUUAUUUCGGGAUACAAAGAGUGGGAAGACAUUUAAAUGAGAGAGACUUUCAAAGCCUGUCCCUUAGAAGGCUGGGGGGGGGAUGGGACACUUUGGACAGUUUGGGUAGCACUUUUGCAAAAAUGGUCAACCGGACUCUCAAACCAAAGAAGACCUGGUUCCCAGAUGACAACUGUCACAUCUAGAAACAGGCCGAUUGGCCAACAACACCCAGCUGCGAAUCUCAAUGAAAUUCAAGCAACAUAUUCAGGGGUAGCUGAAGAGAUAUUCCUCCUUUGUGGGUUUUAUUGUAUUUCUAUUAAAUUCGAGAGAU